GGGUUGUGAGGUUAAGCGACUAAGCGUACACGGUGGAUGCCCUGGCAGUCAGAGGCGAUGAAGGACGUGCUAAUCUGCGAAAAGCGCCGGCGAGGUGAUAUGAACCUUUGACCCGGCGAUGUCCGAAUGGGGAAACCCAGUGCAAUUCGUUGCACUAUCGUUAACUGAAUACAUAGGUUAACGAGGCGAACCGGGGGAACUGAAACAUCUAAGUACCCGAGGAAAAGAAAUCAACCGAGAUUCCCCCAGUAGCGGCGAGCGAACGGGGAGCAGCCCAGAGUCUGAAUCAGCUUGUGUGUUAGUGGAAGCGUCUGGAAAGUCGCACGGUACAGGGUGACAGUCCCGUACACGAAAAUGCACAGGUUGUGAACUCGAAGAGUAGGGCGGGACACGUGGUAUCCUGUCUGAAUAUGGGGGGACCAUCCUCCAAGGCUAAAUACUCCUGACUGACCGAUAGUGAACCAGUACCGUGAGGGAAAGGCGAAAAGAACCCCGGCGAGGGGAGUGAAAAAGAACCUGAAACCGUGUACGUACAAGCAGUGGGAGCACCUUCGUGGUGUGACUGCGUACCUUUUGUAUAAUGGGUCAGCGACUUAUAUUCUGUAGCAAGGUUAACCGUAUAGGGGAGCCGAAGGGAAACCGAGUCUUAACUGGGCGUUAAGUUGCAGGGUAUAGACCCGAAACCCGGUGAUCUAGCCAUGGGCAGGUUGAAGGUUGGGUAACACUAACUGGAGGACCGAACCGACUAAUGUUGAAAAAUUAGCGGAUGACUUGUGGCUGGGGGUGAAAGGCCAAUCAAACCGGGAGAUAGCUGGUUCUCCCCGAAAGCUAUUUAGGUAGCGCCUCGUGAACUCAUCUUCGGGGGUAGAGCACUGUUUCGGCUAGGGGGCCAUCCCGGCUUACCAACCCGAUGCAAACUACGAAUACCGAAGAAUGUUAUCACGGGAGACACACGGCGGGUGCUAACGUCCGUCGUGAAGAGGGAAACAACCCAGACCGCCAGCUAAGGUCCCAAAGUCAUGGUUAAGUGGGAAACGAUGUGGGAAGGCACAGACAGCCAGGAUGUUGGCUUAGAAGCAGCCAUCAUUUAAAGAAAGCGUAAUAGCUCACUGGUCGAGUCGGCCUGCGCGGAAGAUGUAACGGGGCUAAACCAUGCACCGAAGCUGCGGCAGCGACACUAUGUGUUGUUGGGUAGGGGAGCGUUCUGUAAGCCGUUGAAGGUGGCCUGUGAGGGUUGCUGGAGGUAUCAGAAGUGCGAAUGCUGACAUAAGUAACGAUAAAGCGGGUGAAAAGCCCGCUCGCCGGAAGACCAAGGGUUCCUGUCCAACGUUAAUCGGGGCAGGGUGAGUCGACCCCUAAGGCGAGGCCGAAAGGCGUAGUCGAUGGGAAACAGGUUAAUAUUCCUGUACUUGGUGUUACUGCGAAGGGGGGACGGAGAAGGCUAUGUUAGCCGGGCGACGGUUGUCCCGGUUUAAGCAUGUAGGCGGAGGUUCCAGGUAAAUCCGGUACCUUUUAACGCUGAGGUGUGAUGACGAGGCACUACGGUGCUGAAGUAACAAAUGCCCUGCUUCCAGGAAAAGCCUCUAAGCAUCAGGUAACAUCAAAUCGUACCCCAAACCGACACAGGUGGUCAGGUAGAGAAUACCAAGGCGCUUGAGAGAACUCGGGUGAAGGAACUAGGCAAAAUGGUGCCGUAACUUCGGGAGAAGGCACGCUGAUAUGUAGGUGAAGCCCCUGCGGGUGGAGCUGAAAUCAGUCGAAGAUACCAGCUGGCUGCAACUGUUUAUUAAAAACACAGCACUGUGCAAACACGAAAGUGGACGUAUACGGUGUGACGCCUGCCCGGUGCCGGAAGGUUAAUUGAUGGGGUUAGCGGCAACGCGAAGCUCUUGAUCGAAGCCCCGGUAAACGGCGGCCGUAACUAUAACGGUCCUAAGGUAGCGAAAUUCCUUGUCGGGUAAGUUCCGACCUGCACGAAUGGCGUAAUGAUGGCCAGGCUGUCUCCACCCGAGACUCAGUGAAAUUGAACUCGCUGUGAAGAUGCAGUGUACCCGCGGCAAGACGGAAAGACCCCGUGAACCUUUACUAUAGCUUGACACUGAACACUGGUCCUUGAUGUGUAGGAUAGGUGGAGGCUUUGAAGUGUGGACGCCAGUCUGCAUGGAGCCGUCCUUGAAAUACCACCCUUUAAUGGCUGGUGUUCUAACGUAGACCCGUGAUCCGGGUUGCGGACAGUGUCUGGUGGGUAGUUUGACUGGGGCGGUCUCCUCCCAAAGAGUAACGGAGGAGCACGAAGGUUAGCUAAUCCUGGUCGGACAUCAGGAGGUUAGUGCAAUGGCAUAAGCUAGCUUGACUGCGAGAGUGACGGCUCGAGCAGGUGCGAAAGCAGGUCAUAGUGAUCCGGUGGUUCUGAAUGGAAGGGCCAUCGCUCAACGGAUAAAAGGUACUCCGGGGAUAACAGGCUGAUACCGCCCAAGAGUUCAUAUCGACGGCGGUGUUUGGCACCUCGAUGUCGGCUCAUCACAUCCUGGGGCUGAAGUAGGUCCCAAGGGUAUGGCUGUUCGCCAUUUAAAGUGGUACGCGAGCUGGGUUUAGAACGUCGUGAGACAGUUCGGUCCCUAUCUGCCGUGGGCGCUGGAGAAUUGAGGGGGGCUGCUCCUAGUACGAGAGGACCGGAGUGGACGCAUCACUGGUGUUCGGGUUGUCAUGCCAAUGGCACUGCCCGGUAGCUAAAUGCGGAAAAGAUAAGUGCUGAAAGCAUCUAAGCACGAAACUUGCCCCGAGAUGAGUUCUCCCUGAGACUUUAAGUCUCCUGAAGGAACGUUGAAGACGACGACGUUGAUAGGUCGGGUGUGUAAGCGCAGCGAUGCGUUGAGCUAACCGAUACUAAUGAACCGUGAGGCUUAACCUUACAACGCCGAAG
rnacentral:rRNA from 2 species